CCUCACCUCUGUGCCAGGUCCUGGGGAAUGGGAAGUGCUGUGUGCAUAUGUGUCUGCCUCCUAAUCUGCUCCAGCUCUAUUAUAAUCACCAGGAGCUUCUGGAUCCCCUGCUUCAGGGGUGGUGCUCACAUCCAGGCAUGCAACAAUGUCUCCAGUCACCUGAAACCCUUAAGUUUUCCUUGGGAAUCCAAUAAGCUAAUUGAUGUGCCAGAGGAUUACUGUGCACUGAUCAACCAGGCUUUCAGCUUCACGUGAGUCUGUCCUAAGUCAGAUGGAGUUAAGUCUUGAGCUCAAACUCUGUGCUUGGUGUGUGGCACGAUGCUGUCUUCUCAGAGCAGCUGCUGCCAGACUGAGCUGGAGGGUGAGGACGUUGAAGCGUGUACUGCACACACCUUUGUUUGCUGAGCUGGUGUUAGCAUCUUCCUCAGGAAGAUGGAAGACACAUCUGUGUUGAUUGCCAUGUCUUAUAGGGUGAGGGAGAAUCAGGUUCUUUUCCUGUACCUCGAUGACUAUGGAGAACUGUCCAAGGGCUCAGAUGGAGGAAUGCGCUACAGAAAGAUUCAGAAGCUCUGGCGCCAGCACAGCAUCACCGAGGAGAUGGGUCAUGCACAGGAAGCUAAUCAGACUCUGGAGGACAUUGACUGGGAGAUCCUGGAUUUUCUUGGCUAAUGCCAAAUCUAAACUAACCAGGGAUCUGCACAUUUACCUAGAAAUGCCUACAGCCAAAAUCCCCAGUACUGACUGAACGCAUCAAAUGCUGAGUUUACUUUUACAGUCUUGAAUUAACACCUCUGCUAACUGCGUCAUCACCUACAGUGCUGAACUGACAGUUUACUUAACAGCCAUAAUGCUCACUGUUUACAAUACGAAUUAAAGAUUAUGUAAACCCUGGAAUUGUGAAUUAAGCACACCUUUUGGUUAAAAGAUGGGAAAAAAAGAAUUGGUUUAUCACUCGUUGGUUUUGUAAAUAAGGCUUGGUGAAAAUUAGGUUUAAGCUCUGUUUGUGCCACAGGCUAUAUACCCUUCCUCUAAUUUGUUUUCAAUGGAUGUGUACUGUUUUACAAUCUAAGGGCUUUGUUUGCAUCUAUAAUGAUUACACGGAUAAGACAUGUUUACUGUUUGUCACUUUCCUUUUUCUCUCUCUCCUUUUUGGAUAUACCAGUUAAAUAUGUCACAGUUUAGUCAACUGUAACUCUUUUGUUCCUGGUUGUUUGGAAUCAGUUAAUAAACUGUUUUUAAUAUUGUA